GACGAGGUGGCUGAGUGGUUAAGGUAUUGGACUACUACUCUGUUGUUCUCCCCACAUGUGGGUUUGACUCUCAUCCUUGUUG